UGGGGAAUAUUGGACAAUGGGCGAAAGCCUGAUCCAGCCAUGCCGCGUGUGUGAAGAAGGUCUUCGGAUUGUAAAGCACUUUAAGUUGGGAGGAAGGGCAGUAAGCGAAUACCUUGCUGUUUUGACGUUACCGACAGAAGAAGCACCGGCUAACUCUGUGCCAGCAGCCGCGGUAAUACAGAGGGUGCAAGCGUUAAUCGGAAUUACUGGGCGUAAAGCGCGCGUAGGUGGUUCGUUAAGUUGAAUGUGAAAGCCCCGGGCUCAACCUGGGAAAUGCAUCCAAAACUGGCGAGCUAGAGUAGGGCAGAGGGUGGUGGAAUUUCCUGUGUAGCGGUGAAAUGCGUAGAUAUAGGAAGGAGCACCAGUGGCGAAGGCGACCACCUGGGCUCAUACUGACACUGAGGUGCGAAAGCGUGGGGAGCAAACAGG
rnacentral:rRNA from 1 species